GGUCUCCUAUGGAGUUCAGACUGGACUUGUGCUCACUUUGUAGCCCAGGGAUCGAACUCAUGACGACGCGCUUGCAAGGAAUGUGCUUAUGCUGCUGAGCUAAAUCCCCAGCCCCAAGUUACUUUACUUAUAAGAAGCUAAUCAGUAUGAGCAGAGGAUCCUCCCCGGGAAACCUCACCCCUCAUGGGAACGGCUCAGGCCCGCUCGGCCUCUCCCAGAGCAGGGGUGGUGUGCAGAGCAGCUUGGCCCGGCCUGAGCUGCAGAGCCCAGGAAGCCGCUCUGACCAGCUCCAGAGGCAGCCGGACGACACCGACACCGGGAGAGGAGCAGCUGGGCCUUUGGAUGACGACAGGGACAGGGACGGAAAUUCUGGAAAUGCCAGCGACUGGAAAGCUCAGCACGGCAGAUCAAUACUGUUGAUACUCGAUCCCAGCAGGAUUUGUUAUGCUUAGCAAAUAAUUGCUUUACAUGUCUUCUGCAUUCAAAGGCUUCCACCAGCAGGGGGGAAAAAAGAAAACCUCGUUUCCAUGUUCUUGAGAUGAAAACACUUCAUAUUUUUUUUAAAAAGCCUGAUUUAGGUUCCAAACUACGAUGCUCUCUUUCCUUUUCCUUUUUUUUUGAAGUGGUGCUGGGGAGGGAACCCUGGACCCUGGAGUAGCCAGUGAAGCCUGACCACUGAGCUGAAUUCCGUCUGUCCUCUUACUUCUAAGAAAUACCUGGAAAUGAGUACCUUGAAAAAGAACGGAUUGGUUUUGUUAAGCGUAGCACUGCAGAGAAGUCCUUGUUAGUUUUUAUUGUUAUUAUUUUUUUCUUUUUUCCGGUACCAGGGAUCGAACUCAUGACCGCCUGCUUGCAAGGCAGGUGCUUAUGCCGCUGAGCUAAAUUCUCAGCCCCUUAUUGUUAUUUUUGAGACACAGUCCCACAAAGUCUCUAAAUUGCCCUGGCUGGGCUUCUAGAACAUGUGAUCCUCUUGCCUCAGCCUCCCAGAGUAGUAGAAUUAUAAGCAUACAUCACAAACUUGGCUUGUUACCUUUUAAAACAAACAAACAACAACAGCAAAAAAAAAAAAAACAGAGAAACUGAGUGUGGUGACCCAGCCUGUAAUCCCAGCACUCUGGGAAGGUGAGGCAGGAGGAUCACAAAUUUGAACCCAACCUGGGCAACUUAGUGAUUUAGGAAAACAGUUUCGAAUUAAAAACAUAAAUUAAAAAGGGCUGGGGCUAUGGUUCAGUGGAAAGGCCCUGGGUUCAAUCUGCAGUACCACUCCAAGAAAAAGAAAGAAAGAAAGAAAGAGCCACAAGAGGGUUUACUCUGAGUUUAUUUAGAAACAAACAAAAUGAAAGGAGUACAGUACACUUUCUACAUAUGAAGCUAAUUUAGAACAAAAUAAAAAUAAAUGAAUCUGAAAUAUUUGGCCACCAAGGAGUUAAAUAAACCUUCCCAAAGCACACGCCACGUCCUGGCCUUCACUGCUCUGCACACCCGGAAACUCCUUCCGUGGGCGAGCGUUGGUGACAUUCUCACAUCUUUGUGGAAUCUCUGCCGAUGGACUGCAGAGCAGCUUUUGCUUGUGGCCACAGAGAAGGACGCUACCCCCCGUCAAUGAAAACAUCUCACACAGGAAGCGAGUAUGUCCACAUCCUUUCUGAGAUUUAUUUUACUAAAAAGUAGAAUUCACACGGGCCAAAGGAGGGAAACAUGCAAACCAGCUCUGUGCAGACCUCGAACACGCUACAUUCCACUUCUGAAAUCUCAGCCCCCCAAAAAUGCCAAGGCAGGCACGCGGGGGGCGGAAAGGGAUCACCCUAAGAAAAGCUGGCUUCCGAACACGGACACCGCAGACAGCAGUCGCUCAGCGGCAAUCGGUCUCGCUCGUCCACGUUCCUG